rnacentral:rRNA from 1 species
AGAGUUUGAUCCUGGCUCAGGAUUAACGCUAGCGGCAGGCCUAACACAUGCAAGUCGAGGGGUAACAGGUGUAGCAAUACAUGCUGACGACCGGCGCACGGGUGAGUAACGCGUAUGCAACCUGCCUCCGACCGGGGAACAACUUUCGGAAACGGGAGCUAAUACCCCAUAAUAUCCCGAUUUGGCAUCAUUUUGGGAUUAAAGCUACGGCGGUCAGAGAUGGGCAUGCGUGACAUUAGCUUGUUGGUGAGGUAACGGCUCACCAAGGCUCUGAUGUCUAGGGGUUCUUAAAGGAUGAUCCCCCACACUGGUACUGAGACACGGACCAGACUCCUACGGGAGGCAGCAGUGAGGAAUAUUGGUCAAUGGGCGAAAGCCUGAACCAGCCAUGCCGCGUGCAGGAAGAAGGCCCUCGUGGUCGUAAACUGCUUUUAUACAGGAUGAAUCCCCAUACGUGUAUGGGAUUGACAGUACUGUAAGAAUAAGGAUCGGCUAACUCCGUGCCAGCAGCCGCGGUAAUACGGAGGAUCCAAGCGUUAUCCGGAUUUAUUAGGUUUAAAGGGUGCGUAGGCGGGGUGGUAAGUCAGUGGUGAAAAUCUACAGCUUAACUGUGGAACUGCCAUUGAUACUGCCAUUCUUGAGUACAGUUGAGGUGGGCGGAAUGUGUCAUGUAGCGGUGAAAUGCUUAGAUAUGACACAGAACACCGAUUGCGAAGGCAGCUCGCUAAACUGUCACUGACGCUGAGGCACGAAAGCGUGGGGAUCAAACAGGAUUAGAUACCCUGGUAGUCCACGCUGUAAACGUUGAUUACUCGUUGUGUGCAAUAUACCGUACGCGACCAAGCGAAAGCAUUAAGUAAUCCACCUGGGGAGUACGGCGGCAACGCUGAAACUCAAAGGAAUUGACGGGGGCCCGCACAAGCGGAGGAACAUGUGGUUUAAUUCGAUGAUACGCGAGGAACCUUACCUGGGCUUGAAAUUGUAUUGACCGUUCUUGAAAGAGAACUUCCCUUCGGGGCAAUAUAGUAGGUGCUGCAUGGCUGUCGUCAGCUCGUGCCGUGAGGUGUCGGGUUAAGUCCCAUAACGAGCGCAACCCCUAUCAUUAGUUACCAUCGGGUAAUGCCGGGGACUCUAAUGAGACUGCCAGCGUAAGCUGUGAGGAAGGCGGGGAUGACGUCAAGUCAGCACGGCCCUUAUGUCCAGGGCUACACACGUGUUACAAUGGCCGGUACAAAAGGAUGCUACCUGGUAACAGGAUGCAAAUCCCCAAAACCGGUCCUAGUUCGGAUCGAAGUCUGCAACCCGACUUCGUGAAGCUGGAUUCGCUAGUAAUCGCGCAUCAGCCAUGGCGCGGUGAAUACGUUCCCGGGCCUUGUACACACCGCCCGUCAAGCCAUGGGAGCCAGGGGUGCCUAAAGUCCGUGACCGAAAGGAGCGGCCUAGGGUAAAACUGGUGACUGGGGCUAAGUCGUAACAAGGUA